GUCCCUGUAAGGCAAUGGGUAGCACAUUGGAUUUCUAAUCCAAAAGUCGUGAGUGUUUGAAUCCCACCUGGGAUG